CCUACGGGGGGCAGCAGUGAGGAAUAUUGGUCAAUGGGCGAGAGCCUGAACCAGCCAAGUCGCGUGAGGGAGUACUGCCCUAUGGGUUGUAAACCUCUUUUGUCGGGGAGCAAAAGCCGGACGUGUCCGGCUGUGAGAGUACCCGAAGAAAAAGCAUCGGCUAACUCCGUGCCAGCAGCCGCGGUAAUACGGAGGAUGCGAGCGUUAUCCGGAUUUAUUGGGGUUAAAGGGUGCGCAGGCGGAUUUUUAAGUCAGCGGUCAAAUCGUGGGGCUCAACCCCAUCCAGCCGUUGAAACUGGGGAUCUAGAGUGUGCGAGAGGUAUGCGGAAUGCGUGGUGUAGCGGUGAAAUGCAUAGAUAUCACGCAGAACCCCGAUUGCGAAGGCAACAUACCGGUGCACAACUGACGCUCAGGCACGAAAGCGUGGGUAUCGAACAGGAUUAGAUACCCUUGUAGUC
rnacentral:rRNA from 1 species